rnacentral:rRNA from 1 species
CAGCCGCCGCGGUAAUACAUAGGUGGCAAGCGUUGUCCGGAAUUAUUGGGCGUAAAGCGCGCGCAGGCGGAUCAGUUAGUCUGUCUUAAAAGUUCGGGGCUUAACCCCGUGAUGGGAUGGAAACUGCUGAUCUAGAGUAUCGGAGAGGAAAGUGGAAUUCCUAGUGUAGCGGUGAAAUGCGUAGAUAUUAGGAAGAACACCAGUGGCGAAGGCGACUUUCUGGACGAAAACUGACGCUGAGGCGCGAAAGCCAGGGGAGCGAACGGGAUUAGAGACCCCCGUAGUCCCUGUCUCUUAUACC